rnacentral:lncRNA from 12 species
UUUUACUCAUAGUCUAGGGCCAGAAUCUGCUCAUCUGGGUGAAUUUUCAAGGUGCUCAGAUCUCCAUAGCUUGUUCACUCCUACAACUUGCUAGUUUGGACACUCCAACUGAGAUCACCCAGAAAAUGAGUGAAAUCUCUUCAGUUAUGCCACUUCAGAAGGAGGAGCUUAAAUUCCCCCCAUCAAAAUCGCUGAGCCAUAGCAAAGCAACCCUGGAGACUUCCAUUCUAACAAUGCCAGUAUUCCAAAAGAAGUUUCUUAUGCCUUGUUCUUGUGAGCAGAACCAUUUUCUUCUUUGAUUAAACUGAGAAGAAACUUCCUUUCAUCAAUUAUUCUUUUGCUACUCUUUGUAGGUUCAUCACCAGCCUCUACCAGUAGUAAUAAUCACAACAUUCAAUCUGUGCCCGAGUGGAAAGUCUCAGUGCUUAAGGUUACCAUGUCAUUGCCGGCAGUCUAAAGGCAUGCUCAUUGGCGAGCUGGACACGCACCCUGAGAGGCGAGAUGUUUCCACCUCAUUAUGUUGAACAGCAGGAAUUCUAAAUUCUGUCAGAAAAUAGGUCAAUGUUGGGGGGCACAGAAGGGCCCUACAAAUGAAACCAUCUGGCUGGUGAUAAAGAAAAAUGGCUGUACUAUCACUGAAGGUACAGCACUGUGUAUGAAAAGUGGGUAAUUAAUCAUUUUUGCACACUGGCAUUUCUAUAUGAUGAAAUAUCUACCAGCGAUGAGAUUUUACAUUUUAUUUUAUAAUUUACAUUGAGUAAAAAUUAAUUUUUUUUAAAUUAAUUUUUAAAAAAGAUUUUAUGUGUUUACUUGAGAGAGAACAGGAGAGUGAGAGAUAGCAAGAGCACAGAGGGAGAGGGAGAAGCAGACUCCUUGCUCAGCAGGGAGCCUGAUGUGAGGCUCAAUACCAGGCUCUGGAAUCAUGAACUGAGCUGAAGGCAGACGCUUAACUGAUUGAGCCACCCAGGGGCCCGUAUAAAAUUUACAUCAGGGUAUAAGUCUGUGAGUUCUAACAAAUGCAGGUAACUCUCACCAUAAUCAACUACAAGCAAAGUAGAGGAAAGUUGUCUCACCUCCAAACAUUCCUUUGUGCUCCCCAUUUGUAAAUAUCCCCCACUUUCUAACCCACAAGCAACCAACCACUCAUUUAUUCUCCAUCACUAUGUUUUGGGCUUUCCUAGAAUUGCACAUAAAUGGAGUAAUGCGGCUUUGAAUGCUGGCUGCUUUCAUUUAGGAAGAGUUAGCAAUGAUUUUUAAAGUUUUUCACACAAUAAAAUAAUUCCUAGACUUUUGAGAACUAAUUUU